rnacentral:rRNA from 1 species
UGGGGAAUAUUGCACAAUGGGCGCAAGCCUGAUGCAGCCAUGCCGCGUGUAUGAAGAAGGCCUUCGGGUUGUAAAGUACUUUCAGUCGGGAGGAAGGUGGUAAGGUUAAUAACCUUAUCAAUUGACGUUACCGACAGAAGAAGCACCGGCUAACUCCGUGCCAGCAGCCGCGGUAAUACGGAGGGUGCAAGCGUUAAUCGGAAUUACUGGGCGUAAAGCGCACGCAGGCGGUUGAUUGAGUCAGAUGUGAAAUCCCCGGGCUUAACCCGGGAAUUGCAUCUGAUACUGGUCAGCUAGAGUCUUGUAGAGGGGGGUAGAAUUCCAUGUGUAGCGGUGAAAUGCGUAGAGAUGUGGAGGAAUACCGGUGGCGAAUGCGGCCCCCUGGACAAAGACUGACGCUCAGGUGCGAAAGCGUGGGGAGCAAACAGG